AGAGUUUGAUCCUGGCUCAGAUUGAACGCUGGCGGCAUGCCUUACACAUGCAAGUCGAACGGUAACGCGGGGCAACCUGGCGACGAGUGGCGAACGGGUGAGUAAUGUAUCGGAACGUGCCCAGUUGUGGGGGAUAACUGCUCGAAAGAGCAGCUAAUACCGCAUACGACCUGAGGGUGAAAGCGGGGGAUCGCAAGACCUCGCGCAAUUGGAGCGGCCGAUAUCAGAUUAGGUAGUUGGUGGGGUAAAGGCUCACCAAGCCAACGAUCUGUAGCUGGUCUGAGAGGACGACCAGCCACACUGGGACUGAGACACGGCCCAGACUCCUACGGGAGGCAGCAGUGGGGAAUUUUGGACAAUGGACGCAAGUCUGAUCCAGCCAUGCCGCGUGCGGGAAGAAGGCCUUCGGGUUGUAAACCGCUUUUGUCAGGGAAGAAACGCUCUGGGUUAAUACCUCGGGGUAAUGACGGUACCUGAAGAAUAAGCACCGGCUAACUACGUGCCAGCAGCCGCGGUAAUACGUAGGGUGCAAGCGUUAAUCGGAAUUACUGGGCGUAAAGCGUGCGCAGGCGGUUAUGCAAGACAGAGGUGAAAUCCCCGGGCUCAACCUGGGAACUGCCUUUGUGACUGCAUAGCUAGAGUACGGUAGAGGGGGAUGGAAUUCCGCGUGUAGCAGUGAAAUGCGUAGAUAUGCGGAGGAACACCGAUGGCGAAGGCAAUCCCCUGGACCUGUACUGACGCUCAUGCACGAUGCGUGGGGAGCAAACAGGG
rnacentral:rRNA from 1 species